rnacentral:rRNA from 1 species
UACAGAGGGUGCAAGCGUUGUUCGGAAUUAUUGGGCGUAAAGGGCGCGUAGGCGGCGUUUUAAGUCGGGGGUGAAAGCCUGUGGCUCAACCACAGAAUGGCCUUCGAUACUGGGACGCUUGAGUAUGGUAGAGGUUGGUGGAACUGCGAGUGUAGAGGUGAAAUUCGUAGAUAUUCGCAAGAACACCGGUGGCGAAGGCGGCCAACUGGACCAUUACUGACGCUGAGGCGCGAAAGCGUGGGGAGCAAACAGG